AACGAACGCUGGCGGCAGGCCUAACACAUGCAAGUCGAGCGAGGACUUCGGUUCUAGCGGCGGACGGGUGAGUAACGCGUGGGAAUGUGCCCUUCUCUACGGAAUAGCCCUGGGAAACUGGGAGUAAUACCGUAUACGCCCUAUUGGGGAAAGAUUUAUCGGAGAAGGAUCAGCCCGCGUUGGAUUAGGUAGUUGGUGGGGUAAUGGCCUACCAAGCCGCCGAUCCAUAGCUGGUUUGAGAGGAUGAUCAGCCACACUGGGACUGAGACACGGCCCAGACUCCUACGGGAGGCAGCAGUGGGGAAUCUUAGCCAAUGGGGGCAACCCUGAUCUAGCCAUGCCGCGUGAGUGAUGAAGGCCUUAGGGUUGUAAAGCUCUUUCAGCUGGGAAGAUAAUGACGGUACCAGCAGAAGAAGCCCCGGCUAACUCCGUG
rnacentral:rRNA from 1 species